rnacentral:rRNA from 1 species
AUUGAACGCUGGCGGCAGGCCUAACACAUGCAAGUCGAGGGGUAACAGAGGUAGCUUGCUACUUGCUGACGACCGGCGCACGGGUGCGUAACGCGUAUACAAUCUACCUUUUACUAAGGAAUACCCCAGAGAAAUUUGGAUUAAUGCCUUAUAGUAUUUCUCUAACACAUGUUAGAGUUCUUAAAGCUCCGGCGGUAUAAGAUGAGUAUGCGUGAUAUUAGCUAGUUGGUGAGGUAACUGCUCACCAAGGCAACGAUAUCUAGGGGGUCUGAGAGGACUAUCCCCCACACUGGUACUGAGACACGGACCAG